rnacentral:lncRNA from 1 species
UUUUAUUUUAUUUUCUAUUUUUUAGCAGUGACAUCUGGUACUACUACAAUUGCCUCACCAUCUGAUACUACUACAACUGCAUUGACAUCUGGUAG